AGAGUUUGAUCCUGGCUCAGGACGAACGCUGACGGCGUGCCUAACACAUGCAAGUCAAAGAUAGCAAUAUCUUGGCGCACGGGUGAGUAACGCGUAGACAAUCUGCCCCCAUCUCUGACAUAACAUUGGGAAACUGGUGAUAAUAUCAGAUGAGGUGGAGACAUCAAAGUAUUUAUAUGGAUGGGGAUGAGUCUGCGUCUGAUUAGCUAGUUGGUAAGGUAAAGGCUUACCAAGGCUACGAUCAGUAGCUGGUCUGAGAGGACGAUCAGCCACACUGGAACUGAGACACGGUCCAGACUCCUACGGGAGGCAGCAGUGAGGAAUUUUGCACAAUGGAGGAAACUCUGAUGCAGCGACGCCGUGUGUAGGAUGAAGGGGCUCUGCCUUGUAAACUACUGUCGGAUAGGAAUAAAAGUAUGCUUUGCGUACUGGGAAUGUACUAUCAAAGGAAGGACCGGCUAACUACGUGCCAGCAGCCGCGGUAAUACGUAGGGUCCGAGCGUUGUCCGGAUUUACUGGGUAUAAAGGGUGCGUAGGCGGAUUUGUGCUUCAGAGGUUAAAGACCGCAG
rnacentral:rRNA from 1 species